UGAGAGAUUUUGGGAUGUAUUUAUAGCCCCAAAAUCCCUUCUAACCGUUGCUUAAAGAUUAAAGACAGAUUCUGAAAAUCUGUAGGUUAGUCGACUAACUUAAGGUUAUUCGACUACCUAUUUGAAAAACUAGUCGUUGGGCAGGCAACGGCUANNACACAACAAUAAAUUCAAAGAAUUGGCUCUCAAAAUAUAAUUAAAUAUGAUAAAAUGAAUGUAGAGAGUAUUUGAAAGCUUAUGAAUGUUUAGAUAAGAUGUUGUGUCUCAAAUGAGAGAUUUUGGGAUGUAUUUAUAGCCCCAAAAUCCCUUCUAACCGUUGCUUAAAGAUUAAAGACAGAUUCUGAAAAUUUGUAGGUUAGUCGACUAACUUAAGGAUAUUCGACUACCUAUUUGAAAAACUAGUCGUUGGGCAAGCAACGGCUAGUUGGAUAGUCGACUAACUAAAGUUGGAUAGUCGACUACCUUGGCAACGGUCANNN
rnacentral:lncRNA from 1 species